rnacentral:rRNA from 1 species
AACGAACGCUGGCGGCAGGCUUAACACAUGCAAGUCGAACGCAUCGCAAGAUGAGUGGCAGACGGGUGAGUAACGCGUGGGAACAUACCCUUUUCUACGGAAUAGCUCUGGGAAACUGGAAUUAAUACCGUAUACGCCCUACGGGGGAAAGAUUUAUCGGGGAAGGAUUGGCCCGCGGUGGAUUAGCUAGUUGGUGGGGUAAAGGCCUACCAAGGCGACGAUCCAUAGCUGGUCUGAGAGGAUGAUCAGCCACAUUGGGACUGAGACACGGCCCAAACUCCUACGGGAUGCAGCAGUGGGGAAUAUUGGACAAUGGGCGCAAGCCUGAUCCAGCCAUGCCGCGUGAGUGAUGAAGGCCUUAGGGUUGUAAAGCUCUUUCGCCGAUGAAGAUAAUGACGGUAGUCGGAGAAGAAGCCCCGGCUAACUUCGUGCCAGCAGCCGCCGUAA